GCAGAAGACUCUCUACCAUUGCAGUUCCACAUGAACAGGAAGGUACAUGAUAUCAGCACACAGGUGGGUUAACUACUGUAAGAAGGAGAAAGAUCAUCACAAAGGGAUUUCUUGCAUGUGUCUUAGUGUGUUUUUGUCUCAAAUAGCUACCCCUUCACUGCAGACAAGCUGAGGGCUAAAUCCUCAAUUGGAGUCUUUCUCUCUAUGAAUCUCAUCAUUUUUGGACAGAAAUUUAGGAUAAUGUAAGUAUUAAAUUAAAUAUGGUAUAAUUUAGAUUACAGUAAAGCUGAAAUGUUUUUAAAUAUGUUAUUGAAAAAGGUUUAAAAAUGUAGGUUAAAAAUAAAUUGACAUUAAUGUGGAAUUUUCUUCUCUCUUGCUGUUUUAAUAUAGUGUUGAAACCCAGGAUCUUCACUGAAGGACUGAGUGCAUUUGUGUUUGUGGACACACAUACAGACCAGGGAACAUUCUUAUGUUGUCAGUCAAGUUCUGAGUCCAGUCUUAGGGUUUGGCUAAAUGUUGCAUUGGUGCUUUGUCAUCGUUGCAAGUUUUCAGAUGCAACCCAGUCAGUUCUUCCAAGGCUCCAAACACUGGCACGUGACCAGACCGCUCCACUGCAACUACAUAGUGUCCACCACAUCCAGACUGCAUCCAGAUCAGAUGGUGGAUCAGCACCUAGAGACGACCUCACCAGCCCUGAAUGUUAGCAAAGACCAUGUCAGCUAGGUGAGCCACAGAGACAGAUCCCCUGUGAAGACCUCAUCACCUAGACGGCCAUCGGGGCAAGACCACGGGAACCAGACGAGUCCUUUGCACAAUCUGACCGAUGUUGCAGCCUGGAAUUAAACCAAAAUAUCUCUGUUAUUGUCCUCUUGCAUUUUUGACAAACUAUUUUCCUGUUUGACUCUGUAAAGCACUAUAUAAAUAAAGUUGACUUGAUUUUAUAUACUGUAACACCUGGUUCAUAUUUAUUUAUUUAUUUAUUUAUUUUAUUUUUAUUUUUUACUUCUGCCUCAUUUUAAAGAUGUAAUUGUGAACAGUAGUACUAUUUGUAAAAGUUUGCUUGCUAACAUGAUACGUGAGCUUGUUUGGUCUUUUUUUUUUUUUUUAGUUCACUGAAGUUUAAACUGAAUUUUGUAGUUGUAUCUGGCAUGCUACGGUGGAUAAGAAAUGCACAAAGAAGAUAUAUGACGUAAACAGUCUUUAAUAAAUCGACAAGAUAAUCCACAGAAGGAAGGCAGGAUUCACACGUAGCAAUUGAAGUUUUAGACUCGACAAAGACGAACUAAACAGACUCGAACUUAAAUGCACAGGCAAAUUAAGAUAAUUAAGACACAGGUGAAUCAAAAACACAAUCAAGAAGGAACAGAAAUUACAUCACAGA
ensembl:lncRNA